UACAACAUAAUGUUAAUUCACCAGAUCCCAUUAUAACUCCACAGUUAAGCGUGCUCAUGAUAGAUUAGUAAUUGGAUGGGUGACCCCCUAGGAAGUUCUAGUGUUUUAC
rnacentral:rRNA from 1 species